rnacentral:rRNA from 1 species
UAACUGAAGAGUUUGAUCAUGGCUCAGAUUGAACGCUGGCGGCAGGCUUAACACAUGCAAGUCGAGCGGGGGAAGGUAGCUUGCUACU